AUUAGUCUUCUACAAAUCUUAUCCUUGAGGGAUUUUUGGUAAGAUCCGUCUUUGAAAUCUUUCUUGGGUUUUCAAGAAAAAGUCUUGAUCUUUCCAAAUUCAAUUCAAUUUGAGGCAAUAACAUUGCUGGCUGAGGUGAAGAAUUUGCAAAACGACGACUCCAAAUCCCUCACUCUUUCAAGAUGAAUUAGCCAAGGCAGUACGAAAGAAGAUUGCAAGGAAGAACAUGGCAGAAAGCAAACCAGCUAAAAAUGCCACUCCCAAAAAGACUUGCAUAUGUGCUCCGACCAACCACGCAGGGUCGUUUAGGUGCCACCUCCAUCGGAUCCGCGUUGCGUGGUCGGUAGAAGACAGUCGUAGCAAAUCAAAGCUGCAAUGCAAAGCAAACUUCAAUGCCACUGCCAAGAAUGGUCUUCAUGAUGUGGUUGAGAAACAGCCGAAGCUAUCGAGAUUCGGCAGGGCUGCCUUUGCAAGAAGUUGCCACGAAAACCUUCCUUGCACAAUGGCUGAGCAAGUUAAUUAAUCUGUUCUGUAAGGUUUUAGUUAUGGUUCCUCCAGUUGUUGUAAUUUGUAAAUGACAAUAGUUUUAGAAACUUUUGCAAGUAGUUUUUCAUGUAUUUUGUUUUCCUCCUCCUUCUUAUGAUCAGCAGCGUCUCCAAUUUCAAUGGAUUUCCAUGUUUCUGAAAGUCGUAAUCUUAAGAGGAGUGUUUCAUCA